AUGAAAUGGGCGCAGCCUGAUGCAGCCAUGCCGCGUGUGUGAAGAAGGCCUUCGGGUUGUAAAGCACUUUCAGUCAGGAGGAAAGGUUAGUAGUUAAUACCUGCUAGCUGUGACGUUACUGACAGAAGAAGCACCGGCUAACUCCGUGCCAGCAGCCGCGGUAAUACGGAGGGUGCGAGCGUUAAUCGGAAUUACUGGGCGUAAAGCGUACGCAGGCGGUUUGUUAAGCGAGAUGUGAAAGCCCCGGGCUCAACCUGGGAACUGCAUUUCGAACUGGCAAACUAGAGUGUGAUAGAGGGUGGUAGAAUUUCAGGUGUAGCGGUGAAAUGCGUAGAGAUCUGAAGGAAUACCGAUGGCGAAGGCAGCCACCUGGGUCAACACUGACGCUCAUGUACGAAAGCGUGGGGAGCAAACAGGAUUAGAUACCCUGGUAGUCCACGCCGUAAACGAUGUCUACUAGAAGCUCGGAACCUCGGUUCUGUUUUUCAAAGCUAACGCAUUAAGUAGAC
rnacentral:rRNA from 1 species